CUUUGUGUUUGCCCCCACCACCGCUUGACAUUCGUUGCUGGUGUGUUUACGUCCCCAUAACUUGGUGCUUCGGCAAACAGACCGAUAGAAUAAGUAUCCGGCUUUAAAAAAUAAGUACUGCAUGGCCGCAGUCUAAUGACUGAAACAAAUAAAAGAUAAAAUCAGGGUAAAGAUGGAGAUUGUCUCUUUACAGAUGAAAUACAUCAGUAUUUAUCUAAAGUUCAACCACGAAUUAAAUAUUUUUGAACCAAGAGACAAGUACAGGUUUCUCAUUCGUUUCAGUCUACCAAAUCCACUCACAAGGAUUUCGUCGGCCCGAGGCUAUAAUAGCAGACGCUUGCCUAAAGUGCCACGCAGUGGGAAUGAACCCGGGAUCAUGUAAUUGAGCAGCAAAGUUUGUACCACGCAUCCAUGCCUGUCGUGUUUAUGUCAAAUUUAAGGAGGCAACUUGUCUUGCAACAAAUACCAAUUCUAUUUCUUGGUAGAUAUUUAAUAUUAUUGAAAUAAACAUGUUAAAUAGA